AGCACAUCAAACCAGAGAAUUGAAAGCUGGUGGGGUUUCCUCAGGAGGGAGUCAAUGGAGUUCUAUAUUUCUCUGUUGGUUGAUCUUAAGGAUCGUGGUUUGUACAACGGUGAAUAUUUGGACAAAAGCCUUGUUCAGUUCUGCUUCCUGGGCAUCAUACAGGAUGAGUUGGAUGAGAUGACCUCUGUGUGGGAUUCACAUAUUAUUCGACCAUCAAAAAAUUACAGAGUACCAAGUGGCCGACCUAAAGUUAUGUACAUGUUUCCAGACCUCUACUCAACCAGAGAUUGCAUUUCACCAGUAAACAGUGAUGAUGUACAGCUAUGCAUUACAAACUGUGCCUUUCGACAAGCAACACCAUGUGACACAGACAUCAACAAUCUCUGCAACUUUCUGAUGGCAGAGUCACAUUUGCAGCUCCCAUCUGAUGGUUUCCAAGCAAUUGAUCUGUACUUGCAUUUGCGAACUAGUAUUAGAACUAGUCUAUAAGUUGUAGUGACUUACAAAUGGUCAUCCUGUUUGUUUAGUAUCUUUGUAAAUAAUUUUUAUCUUAGAAGAUUGUGUUUCUUUCUUUUAGAAAUGACUGACAUGACACAUCGCCUAUUAAAUAAGGCAAAUAUAGUUCCUUUUUUCCACAGUUUAUUCAGAAACCUGACCUUUAUUCAUAAAGAAAGCCAGUGAAAAGUUGAACAAUGUGUGUUUAUCUGUUCACACAACACUCAAAAUGUUACUUUGGAUAUGAAAAUCUUCUGAACAAAACUGAAAGUUAUGAUGAAAAGAAAAGAAGUUAACUUUUUACCACAGAAACAUCAACUACUGUGAUUAACUAAAUCAUUGUUUUGAAUCAAGAAUUUGCGUUGUAGAGCUGUCAAAAAUAAACAUAAACAGACUCUGAA